rnacentral:tRNA from 1 species
GCCUUCGUAGUGUAAUGGUCAGAAAGCUCGACACGUGAACCAGAGGCCCGUGGUUCGAUUCCCGGCGAAGGCG